GGGCACUCUCUCUCUCUUCGUAGAAUCCAGGUCGGCCAGUUUUGGCUGCGAUCUUGGUGCCCUAGCCACGGCUAGACGCGUGACUGGUCAGAAAAUGAUCGGAGGAGGCCGGCAAACCAUGCCUGAGCCCAUCCCUGGCGAGCCCAACCUCCCUUCACCGUUGCGAGUUCCAGGAACCUUCGAGGGUUUCGAGUUUUCCGACACCUUUUUCGGCAGUUCCGACGGCCGUUGUCACCGAUCCAGGUAUGGAUUUUGAUCCUCUCCUCAUGCUCUUUGCUGAUAGUAUAGUUAUUUGGGAUCAAUUUUAGCUUUUGAGAGCGUGAAACCGCUGUCAUUUCAAUCCUUGCCUUGCAUUCAACUCUUUGGUUGCUAGGCUCUGAAUUCUGAAAUGGUGUGAGAGCUUGUUGAGCUAAAACAAUUGAUUAUUUGAGCUUUAGCUUCAAUCAAAAGGUAUAGAGCAAAAUGGCUAUCGGUGGUUUGAUCUCAAACUGGAAUUUCGAUUCUUUUAUCGGCUUAGGUACUGUUGCGUUACUACCUUAUCCUGAUUUUUUGUUCUUAUUAGUUUUUGUUAUUUUGAUUUUGGUUACAUUUUGUGAAUUGUAGCUUCUCAGUGGAAUUAAUGCAUGCAUAUGGUUUGAAUUUAGAAUUUUAUUUUCGGAUUUCCAUUUUUGUGAGCUGAACGAAUUUGUUAUUUGUUUGCAUGUUGCUUCUCCUGCUUUGCAUUAUCAUCUAGUUAUGCUGGGACAUUUUCGGUUGCAAAUUGUUGAUUUUGCUGCUAAAUUUUUCAGGGAAUGUAGUAAUUUAAGCCAAGUCUACCUUUAAUUCAACAAUUCACCAAUCAGUAUGUAUGUAUGAAUAUAUAUAUCUAUAUAUAUAUAUAUAUAUAUAUAUAUACUGAGCAAUUUUGGGUUGAGCGUGACCAAGUCUACCUUUAAUCCAUCUAUAUAUAUAUAUAUAUUCAUGUAUGGAUGAAUAUAUGUACUGAGCAAUUUUGGGAAUGCUUUUAUCUCUCUGAGUUCAUUAAGGACUUGCUUAAUUUAGCCGAAGAAAUUUAGACAAUUUAUAUGUUGAAUUGGAAAUAGAUGGAGGGAUUGACAAUUUGGGAAUGCUGAUCAACAUAACUUAUUAUCUUCAUUUUGAUGUUUCUGAGGCAAUUCCCUUGUUACUAUCUGUAACUCUUUGAUAUUGGCAGGGAAAGUAUGUCAAACAAACCACACUGUUGUGAUUCCCUUGUUACCAUCUUCAUGCAUGGACUGCCAAAAGGCCGUUCUGAAUUUUCAUCAUCGUUAACUGUUUCACUUGCAAUGUCACUAGCUUCGGGAGUUUCCUCAAGGAAUUAGUUUUGGUACUCAGGUUCUUUUGGACUCUCCUUGAUGAUGUCUUCUGACCCAAUUUCAGGAUAUACUUUGAAUAUAUCAGAAUUUCCUACUUCCGGCAAGUGUGUCUCAUCUGUUUGUGUGAUAAGUGGAGUGUCUGGUUUACUAGGGGCCUCAUUUGCCUUCUUCCCUACUUCAAGUCCAGCUUUUUCUUCAUGAUCAUCUGUCACAAAUGUCUUUUGUAGCUUGUCCUCAACACACUCUUUAGCUUCCAAGGUUGCUUCAUCAUUCUUAAUGUCAGGACUUGCAACUAUUGUUGAGAUUGAGUCAUUCUCUGUAUUUUUAUUGCUGUUGAGUAUUGAUUUUGAGUGGUAUAGAGUGGUACACUUUUAUCGUACCUAUUAUGCAAAUGAAAUGAUGUAGUUGUUAACUUCCAAUAAGUGGUAUGAACAGUUGUUAUACUAUUUAUACCUUGCAAUUGAGUUGAUUUAUAUAACAUAGUAUUAACAAUGUACUUUUAUGACAUAGUAUUAACAGAUUUUCAUUAACAAAGCAUGCUCUAUAUUUUGCUCUAGUUGUGCACUUGAAGUUUAUGAUAUGCAUAACGUGAUUUUUACUAGGAAGAUAGUUCUAUGACAGAGUAUUAACAAUGUACUUUUUUUUUCUUAUGGAGGUAUUUCCUUUUGCCUUUGCAAUUGUUUAUGGUAAAACCAUGGACAAAUUGGAGGUGGUUUCUGCAAAGGAUAUUGGAUGUCUUGCUAGGCCUUUUUGGAUUUUUUUUGAAUUUUUUGUAUGAAAUGGUAUUAACAAUGUACUUCUAUGACAUGAUAUUAACAAUGUACUUCUAUGAUAUGGUAUUAACAAUGUACUUCAGGCUUGCUGGGCUUAUUUUGGGUUUUUUUUUGGUUGAGUUUUUUUGUGUUGGGCUUGUUUUAAGUUUAUCGAUG
rnacentral:lncRNA from 1 species